rnacentral:rRNA from 1 species
UACAGAGGGUGCAAGCGUUGUUCGGAAUUAUUGGGCGUAAAGGGCUCGUAGGCGGUUUGUCGCGUCGGGAGUGAAAACCUCGGGCUUAACUCGGGGCUUGCUUUCGAUACGGGCAGACUGGAGGUAUGCAGGGGAGAACGGAAUUCCUGGUGUAGCGGUGGAAUGCGCAGAUAUCAGGAGGAACACCGAUGGCGAAGGCAGUUCUCUGGGCCGUAACUGACGCUGAGGAGCGAAAGCGUGGGGAGCGAACAGG